rnacentral:rRNA from 1 species
UACGUAGGAACCGAGCGUUGUCCGGAAUCAUUGGGCGUAAAGAGCGUGUAGGCGGCCACUUAAGUCCUGCGUGAAAUCUUGCGGCUCAACCGCAAGCGGUCGUGGGAAACUGGGUGGCUAGAGUGCGGGAGAGGAGAGUGGAAUUCCUGGUGUAGCGGUGGAAUGCGCAGAUAUCAGGAAGAACACCCGUGGCGAAGGCGGCUCUCUGGAACGCAACUGACGCUGAGACGCGAAAGCGUGGGGAGCAAACAGG